UGGCCCACAAGCAGAUCUACUACUCGGACAAGUACUUCGACGAACACUACGAGUACCGCAUGUUAUGUUACCCAGAGAACUUUCCAAACAAGUACCUAAAACUCAUCUGAUGUCUGAAGAGGAGUGGAGGAGACUUGGUGUCCAACAGAGUCUAGGCUGGGUUCAUUACAUGAUUCAUGAGCCAGACCACAUAUUCUUCUCUUUAGACGACCUCUUCCAAAAGAUCAACAAAAA
rnacentral:lncRNA from 1 species